CGCUCCCGCCCGGUUCACUUCGCCCUCGCAAAUGACGGUGAAAUUAAGCGCUAGAAUUGCGGGGAUAGGACGGAGGAUCUCCAUCGGCUUGGAGCCUUCGAGGUUGUCGACCCCGCCGCCCUGCGCCCACAGCCUCGUCGGGUUCCUGCCGCAGCGGGUGCGGGAGGGCGCGCUGCCGCAGCAGCCACCGGACGCGGAAGGAGGAACAGAUGCCCAGCCGCGUGCCGCCAGCUUCCCCAGUCCGGCCUUCCCGGCAGCGCCUCCCUCCACGGCAUCUUCCCCGUCGCGCGCCGUCCGGCCUGUCCCCGCGCAGCCGAGCAAGAUCUGGCGGGUUCGUGAGAUCCCCUCCCUCGCACCAUCCCUUGAAAUCAUGGGGAAGCACCAGUCUCGCUGCAACAUCGUCUUCCUCCUCCAGCAACACCGUCUUCUCCCCGUUCUCCCUCCACGUUGCGCUCAGCCUCCUCGCCACCGGCGCGGGCGGCGCCACGCGCGACCAGAUGCUCGCCGCACUCGGCGGAGGGGACGAGCAGGGGCACGAGCACUCGCGCUCCUUUAGCCAGCCGGUGGGGCCGCUGUCGCCGCAGUACGGAGUCUACUACGGCCAGGACCCGAGCGCGGGCUAGCAGGGAGGAGGGUACGCUGAACCAUAACCAGCCCCGGCAUACCAGGCCCCGCCGGCCGUGAAGCCGCGGUAGCUGGAUCGCCGGUACUCGCGGAUUGCCGACGGUUACCACUCGAUGGAUCAGGUUACUGAUGCCCUAGCUUAAGCUGGUCUUGAAUCAUCAAAUCUUAUUGUCGGUAUUGAUUUCACAAAGAGCAACGAGAGACCUUGCAAUGUUUUCUUUUUUUUAAAAAAGACAUUGCAAUGGUUUCUCAGAAGCUGCAUUGAUAUAGGGAAGCUGCAUCGAUAUAGAAGGCAAGGGCGACACAGGCUGCGGCAUCUUUGUUCCCUCCCAUUCCUGUGUGCUCCCUGGUGCCGGCCGCCAUCCAAAUUCCUGCAAGGUAUAUGGCUAUGCCAUUGUGUGCUUGAAUUGCUCAGUACUUUUAUACAUUGACUUGCCGAUGAUAUAUAUACGUCAGUGCUUAAGCUGUUCCGAUCUUGAAUGACAAACACAAGAGAGCACCCAUCUGGCUGUAGGUCUAGCAUUGUUUAGAAGAAUGUUACAAACAUUGGAUGUCAAGGAGCUUGGGAUUUAUUUUGCUGGUAGUCCGCAAAUAGAAAAUAUAUAAUGUGGAAGUUUUAUUUCAAAAUCUUUGGAGGCUUUCAACCGUCAUCUCAACUACUUACACAAAGAAGUUCGAGAUAAGCAUUGGCAAGUUUCUAGAAAUGUUCAAUGCUCCUGUCAUUUCGUACAGUCAAAAGAAAGAUACAGAUUUUUACCUUUCCCUACAAUUUGCACUUUUUUGCGGCUUAGUGCACAAAUUUGAAGAAAAAAAGAGACAUGUUCAUUAAUGUGGAUUUAUUAUGUAUAAUCCAUCCAUGUGACUACACUGUAUUCAUUUUUCAUGAUUUUGAAUCAGCUUCAAGAUUCUAGCAAUGCUUAGUGCAAUCCUUUAUACCUUGUCAUUCUUCAUUAUUAGGAUUCAGUGCUGCUAUUUAUUUACUUAAACCCUCGAUUUUCAUAAAGUGCUUUAAAACAUUGAUGCAUGGUAUUUUUUUACAUUUUCAGCCAUUGUGUCACUAGAGAUCAAGCUGGUGAGGAUAUAUUUUCCAUGUUCCUGGCCUGGUUUAUGAUUAUGUACCUAAAUUUAAGAAGUGUUCCAUAUUUAAGUGAACCAGAUUUAAAAUGCCAUUUAACUCAAUAAGAAGUGCUCCAGAUUUAAGUGUUGCAUAUUAUGCUUUUUGCUUUCUACUCCAAUGUAGAUCUAUUUGGACUUUUCCUUUCUACCUUGCUGGGUACCUCGAAAUAGAAUUGUGCAUACCGUUUAACCUUUGAUGUAAUGUCAAUCAAUGGUAACCUAACCAUCCAAAUUGAUUAAUGAAGUGAAUAAAACUGAGCUAAAGUUGUCAUGCACUUAGAUUGAUAUUGGAGUUGGGAUACGAUUUUUAUAGCUGAAACAUGAGUUGUCACAGUGAUAAUUCGAUUACAUGGUGGAUGGUUCGUUUUGCUCUGUGUUACAGUACUAUUUAGCAGAAUUUAGAAUAGCUCUGGGUCCAAUAUUUCCAUUGCCAGUGUCGCCAGAUCUUGUCCUGCUCAUGGCUUCGAUCGGCCGUACUCUACUCUUGGUUUCCAAACAGCGAGGAGCGGAUCUUGUACCGUUCACGGCUAGCAAUGUUCCUGUAGUGGUUCUGAUUCUGCACAGGUAGCUUUUUUCAAUGUACACUGUUGUUCUGAACUGAUUACACACUCAUCAAAUCAUUUGUGAAUUUGGACAGCCAUAUCAACACGAUUAACAAGAUCUUUGCUAGAUCUUAUGAUGGACAGAUAAUAUGCGGCAAAAUUAUCUGUAAUCAGUAGACAUUGCAUAGCAGUUUCUGUCAUUUUACAAACAAAACUGGUUUUGCUUACUGCCUUUUAUAGCAAAUCUAUACUAUAAGGAUCCUAAACUAAUAAAAACACCAUGCACCUGAAAAUUUUCCCCUUACCCCUCACAGUGUCCCACCUGUCGGGUGUCGGGUAGGUGGACAUUGAAAUCAGGGUGCGUGCAGCGUAUUCAACACUGGUGGACUCAAACUAUUGUAGUAUUGUCCAAUCUGGACUUUCAUCUUCUUUUUAAUAUAAUUGGCAGCUCUUCUGCCAUGGCCGGCCAGCUAUACGCCUGGUGAUGGGCCUACACACUCACGCAUAUGUGCCUUGCUAACAACAUACACCAUGGUACUUGGGCAGAAUGAGAAUACCAGCUAUGAGAGGCUAAAUGCUAUGCGACAUAGGACAAGAGGAUUACUCAUGGGCAGGUACAGGUUCCUUCAGCUCGUGUAGGGACCAAAAGUGAAUUUGGUGAAUUUGCUAUGAAUGUGAAAGCUUAGCCUUAGCAUAAGAAAGCUUUGCGAUUCAGUAGGUGAUUUGUCUAGGUGAGGAAAGUGUGGUGUGAUUGGCCUCUAAAUUCUUGGCAUGCUUGAUCAAAUCUGAUCAUUAUCAUAGAACAAACAGGUUCAUUUUAUUAUCUUCCCAGCUAGCUUUUUUCAAUAACAAUUCUGCAUUUAAUAAAAAUAUGUAAAUCUUUUUUAGAUAAAAAUACCUAUAAAUACUUAUAAUGUCUUCAAUGAACAUUUAGGAAAUUCUUGAUCUUGGUGAUAUGCCUUCGGUACCUUGAAGCACGAAAAUGUUUAUGUAAGUGCCUUAUUUGGUGUACAUUCUAUGCUCCUUAUUUGACCUUAUUUAAUUCAUGUACUGUGGAUUUUGAGUUGAGCUAUGUAUUGAUCAAAAGUUUGUUAUACUGGUUUUUCUAUGCAAAUGCCUUUUGAAUUAUUUUAUUAUUAA